AAUGAAGCCGGGAAACCGGUCCUUCUAACCCAUGAUUAUAAUAAUUUGUUGCUUUGGUGGGCCGCGCAAGCACCGGCUUCGGCUGGAUCGUGCCCGCCAGAGGACUACAACUCUGUAUCAAAUGUCGUCUGAGUACUAUAAAAUAGUUAAAACUUUCAACGACGGAUCUCUUGGUUCU
rnacentral:misc_RNA from 1 species